GGCCUAUUAAUUUCCUAAUGUUUGCUCCAGGACCGAGCAGCCCGGCGCCUGCUGAGGUUUAUCUGCGCGGCUCAGCUGUGGAACGUGCUGCGUGCCAGCUUCUGGGUGCUUCAGAGAUUUGCCAGGCCCAGGAGGGGGCAGGAGGCGCCGGGAGCAGCUUCUGGCCCAUCCAUGACACCAGCCAGGGCCGCUUUUCAGUGCCAGUCAUGGGUGAAAUCGAGAAGACCGGGACAAUUCCUUCCCCCGGCACAGGUGGGGCCACCUCACUCCUUCCACCUCAUUUCCCCACGGUGUGACAGUCCCCGUCCACGAGCAUCAUGUCUGCUCUUGUGAGAGCUGCUGCGCUCAGGUACGUGGCUCUCUGUGCGCAUGGGUGAGUAUCUCUGCAGGGCAGGCUUCUUGGAGUGGACGUGCUGGAUCAAAGGGAGUGUUCACCUUUUUAGUCCUGAGAGGUACCUCAAAUCACCCUCCAAUGAGGUUGCUCCAGGCGCACACCUCCCCCAUGGUGCUUUGGGGGCAGGAAACAGCUUUAGGGAGAGGGCAGAGGGGCUAAGGAGCUGAGCCAGGUUCCGCUUCCCCCAGCUUCUUGCUGGGUUUGAGGGGAGCAAGCCGGUGACACCGCAUCUGCUGUCCUCGGUGACAUGGAUCCCUGGAAGCCCUCUGACCUUCGUCCCCAAGCUAGAAGACCAGGCUGGGAAGAGGCUCAGGCCCCUCGCCAGUUAGCCCUCCGGUUUCUCUGCUCCCCACCCACCCCAACACUGCAGGCCUGCAGCCCAGGGGUCCUCGGUCUGCCACAGAGACCCUGGCUGAGUUAUGGCCUCAUUCAUUCCUCUAGCGGAUUCGUCCAAGGGUAUUUAUCUUGGGCCUUUCUUUCCCUGAGGUAAACUGAGAAAAUUCACAGGCUGCUGUUCUCCAUGGCAAGGCGGGAGCUGGGGGCAUUGCCGGUCUGGAAGUAAGGCCUAGGGAGGGAGAGUCCUGGGGAGAUGGUCAGGACAUUGUGGGGUGAACCUGGGACAGGGUGGCCGAUAGGGCUUUGUGCUGCGAUGGGGACGGGCCCCGUCCACCUGCUCUGCUCCCAGGCAGGUGUCCUCGGCAGACUGUGGGCCCCUCAGAGAGCCAACUGGCAAUAAAAUAAACAGCCACCACCUGCCGAGCUCUCACAGUGUGCCAGACUCUAUAUUUACAUGUUCUCACUUCACCCUCCCUCAAAACCUGCACCCCCAAAUGAUCCCCUUUUACAGAGGAAGAAAUGGAGUCUGGCAAGGCUGACUCGCCAAGGCCAACGGGUGACAAAGGGCAGAGCUGGGAUUCUAACCCAGGCCUCCCUGGCUCUAAACCUCAGCUCUCAGUCCCUUUUCUACAAGGGAGUGAAAACCAGAAAUCUGAAUUCUGCUUCUAGGGUUAUUUAGUUUUUCCUUCCUCCCCACCCAGACCACUUCCUCAAGGCCAAAUCCAAUUGCAGAUGGGGAUGGAAGUUUCUGGAUGGUUUCUCGUGGGUCUCCUUGCUUAUCACAGCCACACAGCUGUGAGCAUCCGCUGUGGGGCCGGCCACAAUCACAGGCAGAAGCCUUGUCAGUCCAACGUAAUCCACCAAUCCAGCAGAAGCUGGGGAAGCUUCUGGAACUUGUCUCUGAGAAGCCCGCUUGAGUCUCCUCUGCACACCACACGCCAGCCCUUUUUGCUCCACCCCACAACCCCGACAUGACCCCUUUUUCUUUUCCAGGACAAGCACAGAAGCACAGAAUGCCAAUUUCCCUCUUGAGAUCUCUCCUGAAUUGGGAAGAUCUCUCGUGAGGCUGGGUCAAAGAAUCACAGACCAGAGA
rnacentral:lncRNA from 1 species